rnacentral:piRNA from 1 species
UGAACCAUGAAUUUAUUGAGAGGUU